rnacentral:ncRNA from 1 species
UUGGUUCACACGAAUGUGAGAUUAAAAGGGAAACGGGUGAGAAUCCCGUACAGUCCCGCUGCUGUGAGUUGUCAGUUUCGAGACGAACAACACGCCACUGGCCCACCAUUUGCCGGGAAGGCAGUUCGCCUUGGGACAACAAAGUCAGAAGACCUGCCGUCAGUCA